UAAGUUAUUAAGGGCGCACGGUGGAUGCCUUGGCACUAGAAGCCGAUGAAGGACGUUACUAACGACGAUAUGCUUUGGGGAGCUGUAAGUAAGCUUUGAUCCAGAGAUUUCCGAAUGGGGAAACCCAGCAUGAGUUAUGUCAUGUUAUCGAUAUGUGAAUACAUAGCAUAUCAGAAGGCACACCCGGAGAACUGAAACAUCUUAGUACCCGGAGGAAGAGAAAGAAAAUUCGAUUCCCUUAGUAGCGGCGAGCGAAACGGGAAGAGCCCAAACCAACAAGCUUGCUUGUUGGGGUUGUAGGACACUCUAUACGGAGUUACAAAGGACGACAUUAGACGAAUCAUCUGGAAAGAUGAAUCAAAGAAGGUAAUAAUCCUGUAGUCGAAAAUGUUGUCUCUCUUGAGUGGAUCCUGAGUACGACGGAGCACGUGAAAUUCCGUCGGAAUCUGGGAGGACCAUCUCCUAAGGCUAAAUACUCUCUAGUGACCGAUAGUGAACCAGUACCGUGAGGGAAAGGUGAAAAGCACCCCGGAAGGGGAGUGAAAUAGAACCUGAAACCGUGUGCUUACAAGUAGUCAGAGCCCGUUAAUGGGUGAUGGCGUGCCUUUUGUAGAAUGAACCGGCGAGUUACGAUUUGAUGCAAGGUUAAGCAGUAAAUGUGGAGCCGUAGCGAAAGCGAGUCUGAAUAGGGCGUUUAGUAUUUGGUCGUAGACCCGAAACCAGGUGAUCUACCCUUGGUCAGGUUGAAGUUCAGGUAACACUGAAUGGAGGACCGAACCGACUUACGUUGAAAAGUGAGCGGAUGAACUGAGGGUAGCGGAGAAAUUCCAAUCGAACCUGGAGAUAGCUGGUUCUCUCCGAAAUAGCUUUAGGGCUAGCCUCAAGUGAUGAUUAUUGGAGGUAGAGCACUGUUUGGACGAGGGGCCCCUCUCGGGUUACCGAAUUCAGACAAACUCCGAAUGCCAAUUAAUUUAACUUGGGAGUCAGAACAUGGGUGAUAAGGUCCGUGUUCGAAAGGGAAACAGCCCAGACCACCAGCUAAGGUCCCAAAAUAUAUGUUAAGUGGAAAAGGAUGUGGCGUUGCCCAGACAACUAGGAUGUUGGCUUAGAAGCAGCCAUCAUUUAAAGAGUGCGUAAUAGCUCACUAGUCGAGUGACACUGCGCCGAAAAUGUACCGGGGCUAAACAUAUUACCGAAGCUGUGGAUUGUCCUUUGGACAAUGGUAGGAGAGCGUUCUAAGGGCGUUGAAGCAUGAUCGUAAGGACAUGUGGAGCGCUUAGAAGUGAGAAUGCCGGUGUGAGUAGCGAAAGACGGGUGAGAAUCCCGUCCACCGAUUGACUAAGGUUUCCAGAGGAAGGCUCGUCCGCUCUGGGUUAGUCGGGUCCUAAGCUGAGGCCGACAGGCGUAGGCGAUGGAUAACAGGUUGAUAUUCCUGUACCACCUAUAAUCAUUUUAAUCGAUGGGGGGACGCAGUAGGAUAGGCGAAGCGUGCGAUUGGAUUGCACGUCUAAGCAGUAAGGCUGAGUAUUAGGCAAAUCCGGUACUCGUUAAGGCUGAGCUGUGAUGGGGAGAAGACAUUGUGUCUUCGAGUCGUUGAUUUCACACUGCCGAGAAAAGCCUCUAGAUAGAAAAUAGGUGCCCGUACCGCAAACCGACACAGGUAGUCAAGAUGAGAAUUCUAAGGUGAGCGAGCGAACUCUCGUUAAGGAACUCGGCAAAAUGACCCCGUAACUUCGGGAGAAGGGGUGCUCUUUAGGGUUAACGCCCAGAAGAGCCGCAGUGAAUAGGCCCAAGCGACUGUUUAUCAAAAACACAGGUCUCUGCUAAACCGUAAGGUGAUGUAUAGGGGCUGACGCCUGCCCGGUGCUGGAAGGUUAAGAGGAGUGGUUAGCUUCUGCGAAGCUACGAAUCGAAGCCCCAGUAAACGGCGGCCGUAACUAUAACGGUCCUAAGGUAGCGAAAUUCCUUGUCGGGUAAGUUCCGACCCGCACGAAAGGCGUAACGAUUUGGGCACUGUCUCAACGAGAGACUCGGUGAAAUCAUAGUACCUGUGAAGAUGCAGGUUACCCGCGACAGGACGGAAAGACCCCGUGGAGCUUUACUGUAGCCUGAUAUUGAAAUUCGGCACAGCUUGUACAGGAUAGGUAGGAGCCUUUGAAACGUGAGCGCUAGCUUACGUGGAGGCGCUGGUGGGAUACUACCCUAGCUGUGUUGGCUUUCUAACCCGCACCACUUAUCGUGGUGGGAGACAGUGUCAGGCGGGCAGUUUGACUGGGGCGGUCGCCUCCUAAAAGGUAACGGAGGCGCUCAAAGGUUCCCUCAGAAUGGUUGGAAAUCAUUCAUAGAGUGUAAAGGCAUAAGGGAGCUUGACUGCGAGACCUACAAGUCGAGCAGGGUCGAAAGACGGACUUAGUGAUCCGGUGGUUCCGCAUGGAAGGGCCAUCGCUCAACGGAUAAAAGCUACCCCGGGGAUAACAGGCUUAUCUCCCCCAAGAGUUCACAUCGACGGGGAGGUUUGGCACCUCGAUGUCGGCUCAUCGCAUCCUGGGGCUGUAGUCGGUCCCAAGGGUUGGGCUGUUCGCCCAUUAAAGCGGUACGCGAGCUGGGUUCAGAACGUCGUGAGACAGUUCGGUCCCUAUCCGUCGUGGGCGUAGGAAAUUUGAGAGGAGCUGUCCUUAGUACGAGAGGACCGGGAUGGACAUACCUCUGGUGUACCAGUUGUCGUGCCAACGGCAUAGCUGGGUAGCUAUGUGUGGACGGGAUAAGUGCUGAAAGCAUCUAAGCAUGAAGCCCCCUCAAGAUGAGAUUUCCCAACUUCGGUUAUAAGAUCCCUCAAAGAUGAUGAGGUUAAUAGGUUCGAGGUGGAAGCAUGGUGACAUGUGGAGCUGACGAAUACUAAUCGAUCGAAGACUUAAUCA
rnacentral:rRNA from 1 species